CCCCCUAGCGAUCGGCGACGACUGCCUGUGCGGCCGCGCCGUUAUGUUGCCGGCCAACUGCCCUGCGUCUCUACUCCUCCAAGGCUCCAACACCCCUUCGCUGACCCCCUGCCUGCCGGGCUGCCGGACAGAAUUUUGCUGAGGCCAACCACAUCACAAACGGCACACAGGUAAACUAACAUCUUUCGCCAAAUUCCCCAUUUACUAAGUAGUAGCCUUAUUUUGUUUAGUUGCUUACAUCUCGUGAUAAGUAGUAGCCUGUCAGAGAAGAAUUGAUCUAGGACUUGUUAAUAUUGGUGAGUCAUGCAUGUACAUGUGUCUAUAUUUGUGGAUCUCAGAUAUCAGUCUUCAGGCGUUCAUAUAUGUUUGUGCCUGCAGUCUUUCAUUUAGCUCCGGAUGCUGUGAAAAAUCUUCGUAGAUUUAUACUGUGCCAUCUGCACAAUGUCAAAAUGUUUCUAAUAGCCGAAGUUAUUUUCUGCUACUUAUUCUAGUUUUGAUGCACCCAGAAUUUCGUUAUAAUUACCAAAAUAUUGCAGGUGUCGAUGGAGGAACAGGUGGUAAUGUAAUUCUUGGUUUCUCAAGAUCUGUCUGGGAUUUCAGUAACUUGCAACAUCACACGGUAUGCUUUUGGUAAUUAAACUUACAUUUUGCUCCAGCAAUGCAUCUUACUGAAACCUUAUAAUAACCAAUAUCCUCAAGUGCCUUAAUUGAUCAUCGCUGUUAUAAUAAAAUAACACAUAUGAUUCUCCGACUAAAAGAAGUUUAUCCCAAUUCUCUUCACCAAAUCACGCACGACUUGUGGAAUAUUUUCUACGCAUUCAUUGUCCUUGUACGACAGCAAGUGUACCAACACCUGAUUUCGUAGGUCAUAAUCGUCCUGCACGUGAAUUAUGCUGUCAUGCAAGGCUCACAUCUAAAAGGACACAUGAAUGGUGAAUGUAGAGUACUCACUGGGACAACUGGUAAUCCAUGUUCAUGAUCAUGCCACGUGCGCAUAAUCUUUAAAACUAAAAACCCAGACAUAUUGCUGCAUAGGAGUAAAUGUUAUUAGCAAUAUGAUAGAUGAAAAUAUGGUCAAAUAAUUGGAAUGUUAAGGUUAUAACCUGUUUGGGUUUUUUGGAACUCCAAGUGGUAUGAUGCGACGCCAUCUAAAAACAUCAUCAUUCCAGCCAGGAAUUGCAUCUUGUAAUGCUAUGUUUAGAUGGAAUGAAAUACAUUGAAUCUUAAGUAUGUCCUUCUGUGAAGGAUUCUUUUUCCAUGCAUCCGAUAGGGGAAGAGGGUCGAGUAUAGUGAUUGUUCUAUCCAAUAGGUCGAACAGGAAGAGGAUGAAGCGACCGGUUGUACAAAACGGCAACAAAAUCUGUGUGAAGUAGGCUUUAGAAAUAAAAUACGGGUGAAAAGCACACACAGAGAUGGGAAGUAUGAUUACCAACUUGCACACCGAGACGUCAAAGCACAUAUCAGGCCAACGAUGAAAUAGUUUUGCAAUAAUGUAGCGUUGGGCAUCAAAUGGUAAACGGAGUUUUGGAUCUUGUGUAGAGUCAUUUAGUAUCAUCUGAGAGGAAAGUAAAGGAUUAUUAACAUUCUAUGCGCUUAUGGUUGCAAUUAUAUGUGCUCGUCGCCGUAAAAGGAAGUAUUAUGAGAUUUUAAAAACUUACAGAAAAUCUGAGAUCCAUAUAGUGAUAUGGAGUGUCUUUAGCCCAUUGAAUGUCGUCUGUAGCAUUUACUCGAACAGCCAUGUUAAAACUGUCGACAUCAAUUGCCCGUGUAUUCUUUAGUAAGUCUUGUAGUUGUCUAAGACUUAUACUUAGUGGGUAGGGCUUGGAGCUACGGAUCCAUUCUUUCCUAUCAAAUAAACCAUAGCAUCAACGAUAUAGUGAAAAAAUAAUAUACAUAAAUGCAGAUAUUGUUAUUUUGAAAGUUGACUUACUCUCGGGAAUCUGCAUUAUGAAUGGACAUGAUAUGACCUCGAAGUUUGCAAAGUAGCUCAUUUUUAUUAAGUGGCAUUCUCAGAACAACCAUGGCAGGUGGCGGGUCCAAUAUUUCAACACCGUCAGUAUCUAUUAUAUCGUCUGCUGGAUUAUGGUACUCAGGAGUUCCUUUUAUAUCAUUCAGAUCUGAUUCAUGGAGAAUGAUUGCUACUUUUUGCCUGAAGGGUUUGACAUCUUCCUGGAAAAAUAAUAAUUAGAAUCAAUAUAUUACAACAUUGAAUUAGAUAUGCAAUACACUUUUGUCAUCCUUCACAAAUUACCUGUGUAACAGGAUGUGACAGUUUGUGUCCUGUCCAGUAUUCAAUGAAUUGUAGCAUGAACAAGCCGCAAGAUGAUCUAUUGGUUAAAAAUAUUGGGCACAUUAGUAAUAAGCAAACAUAAGGAAUUGUUGAAUAAUAAUCAAUAAUUGUUACUGCUGCUCUCAUUUCGCAUUUUCUCAUGUGAUGAUUUCAAACAUACCCAUCAGAUUGAAUUCGAUCUUGAAUAUACUCUUUUAUAGUCCAUCUAGUUACAUCAAUAUCUGGCCAAGUACCUAGGUUAAACCCAUUCAUCUUAGAAGCAAUCUUUAGAUGCGCCUCAAGCCCCUGAAGCUGUUAAAUAGAAAAAAAGUAUGAUAAUAUAGGUGAAACUAAUUGCAUGAAUUCCAAGUACAGAUAUAGUAAAAUCAUACCGUAAGUUGUAGAUCAGCUCGGCUCAUUCGAGAACCAAAAGAAUCGAGUACUUGUAUCUCGCGUUGUUUGAUAUUGACAACAGAUAGAUACCAAUGCGUUUGGUUCAUAUUAAUUGGAAUGUACAACUGACACAAAAUAUAUAAGUCAUUGCCCCGGCUAGGUAAACAAAUUGAUAACAAAUGAUAGAACCAUAGGUAGGAAAAUUAGUCUAACCAUGUCAUGCUGUAGAUACUUAAGCACCUUUUCAACGAUGUGGUGAUGACUCUCAAGGCUUAUGGGAAUUUCACCAUCUCGCUUAAGUAUUCCUGAAUCAUAUGUAGUUUCCAAGAAUACACGUGCACCCGCUGUACAAAAUUUAUCCUGGACCCUUAGACAGUAAAUAUAUGCAUUUAUGACCUAUAGUAGAAAAAGUAACAAAUAAAUUAGACAUUCUUGAAGUGUGUAAGUAUGAUCAUUGGAAUAUAUUUUAGCUGACCUCGCUCUCCACCCAUAUCUCAUCUUCUAAAAGACAUUCCAAAUCUCGACGUGUCAAGGUUGUGUCAUGGAUAUUCACUAACUUGGUUUUGCUAGGGAAGGACAUGAUGUAUUCCUUCAUUUCAGUAAAAUUAAUAGCACAGGCAUUUUCUUUUAUCUCAUUCAGAUCCAUCUGAAACAACAUAGACAUAAGUAAAGCUUAAUUGAAUAAAAAAAUGUGGUGGUUGUUUGUAUAGCGCCUGUGAAAGCUGAUUCGCUUGUUGCUAAUACGUGAAUGCAAGGAGCUCACCUCGGCUGGUGCGACGGACAUGGCGAGUGGAGCGCAGAGGCAACGACGGCCGUAGCGCAGCGUCGCCGGGAGGACGGCCUUGAGGUGCUUUGCACCGCUGAGCCCGUCCCGGCUGCCGUCGUUUCCCCAACGUAUACAGGUUCUCUUCCACGACUGAUGAACGUGCCCACAAUGGAUCGGCCAGAGAGAGAAGAAAGAGACCUAUGCAGGGCGUCAAUGGGGUAGUGCGAGCAGCCUUGCUUUGAAGUGGCCAUUUAUAAUACUUCCCUUCCGCUGAACUCGGGAAUUUCUUCCUGCAUGUGACGCGCGGCCUUAACUGCCCUGCAAUCUCGGCGAUUACCUUCUCUACAUAGGGCAAUCGGAGCGAUUAUCUUCCCUACAUAAACAUGAUUGCUUCCAUCUGAUUUGUUUACUGAUCAGGAGCAAGAAAAUCGCCAGAGAUAUCACUCCGUUUUAUUGUAUCGUAUACCCUUGCUCUGAGAGGAAACAUCCCAUCCAGCGACAAAAUUAGACGAUGUUCCAGCGACAAAAUUAGACUCCAUGACAGAGGUGACCUGCACAAAAUAAAUCUCAGAUAAAUUAAAAACCAUUUCAUUAUCUAAUUUUAUUGUGAAAUAAAAAUAUUGCCAUACAUAAUAAAAUGAUAGAGUGGAAAUAUAACUGCCAAAUUUCUCACCUAUGAUGUAAGGAUCUCUUUAUAGACGAUGUUCUUCGUGUACGUACCAACAGGAUAAUCGCAUGUGUUUUUGCUGCAAGUUGAACUCUUCUUUUUGAUGUCAUCUGAGUUUCUUUUCUUAUUACCAG
rnacentral:lncRNA from 1 species